AGGACGCUGAGCGGGAGGGCGGGGGAAGGGGGAGGAGACGACGAGAAGUCGCCGCGGCAACGGCGUCACCCGCGUGUCACGGUUGUGACGUCAUCCGGGGCUGUGUGACGUAACCGAGGAGCGCCCUCGCGCCGUCGUCGGGAGAAGGUUCGUUGGCCUCCGACCACCCUCGGGCUGGCGCGUUUCCUCAGCUCGGCGGUUUCCAUGGCUGCGGCUUCCUCUUGGUCUCUCCACCUCAGUCCUCAGUGUGUUAUGUUAAAGUAGGGUUUACUAGAAGAGCCGGGUGCUGUUGGAGAAAUUGAAAUCCUAGAGGGAGAAAGGCGGGGAAGCCCAUGCUACUUAUUAUUGCCGUCACAGUGUCUCUGUGUCCAGAAAAUAAGACUUAAACCUCAAGGUUGGAACAUUUGUACAGAACUCCGUAGAAAUAGGUUUAGCAACAGCCAAAUUAUCAGUAUGGUGCUUGUACCCUUUCCUUAAAUGUUUUGGCCAUUAGUGUCUAAAUGGGAUUUUAAAAGCUUUUCUUUCAUCGAUGAGGAAUAAAAUGUUUUCUAACGGUGUGUUUUCCGUUUUCUGGAUUCAUUCAUUUAACAAAUAGCGACUGUCUGGAGUGCCACGGUAUCCAGCUGAGAAACAACAGGAAAAACAUAAACUCGGGAGUCCAGAGAUGGAGAUUUUCGUGUCAGCAUGCCCCAUCUUGACUAGAUCAUCUUACAGGAGCUUUAACUGGAAAAAAAAAUGUCCUAAAUGUUCAUCAAUUGGUAACUACAUGGAACUAUGGUACCAGUACAUGAUGGGAUACUUAGUAAUAAAAAGAA